rnacentral:rRNA from 1 species
AGAACGAACGCUGGCGGCAUGCCUAAUACAUGCAAGUCGAACGAACACUUCGGUGUUAGUGGCGCACGGGUGCGUAACGCGUGGGAAUCUGCCCUUGGGUUCGGAAUAACAGUUGGAAACGACUGCUAAUACCGGAUGAUAUCGAAAGAUCAAAGAUUUAUCGCCCAGGGAUGAGCCCGCGUAGGAUUAGCUAGUUGGUGAGGUAAAGGCUCACCAAGGCGACGAUCCUUAGCUGGUCUGAGAGGAUGAUCAGCCACACUGGGACUGAGACACGGCCCAGACUCCUACGGGAGGCAGCAGUAGGGAAUAUUGGACAAUGGGCGCAAGCCUGAUCCAGCAAUGCCGCGUGAGUGAUGAAGGCCUUAGGGUUGUAAAGCUCUUUUACCCGAGAUGAUAAUGACAGUAGUCGGAGAAUAAGCCCCGGCUAACUCCGUGCCAGCAGCCGC